UCUGAUUGAGAAGCUUCUUGAGAAAAAAUAGAAUUGCUUAAAAUGGCAUGAAAGACUUAAAGUCAUGCUGCUCAAGAGAAUCAAAUGAUAUGAAGUUUAGUUCUUUAUAUAUCUUAAUGUUGUGUUUUUUUUUGGCAUGCUGCUCAAGAGAAUCAAAUAGAAAAUAAACUCACCGACGGUUUUGUUCAAUUUCGUUUUAUUCUAUCUGCUGUUUAGGGAGAACAGGUAUGUCAGGCCUCAGUGUUAUAUUAGUUAUCAGUUUCAAUAUAUCAUCAGUGUGUGAUUUACCUGUUCUCCCUAAACAGCAGAUAGAA
rnacentral:misc_RNA from 1 species